rnacentral:lncRNA from 1 species
UUGCUUUCUCUCAAAACGUUGCUGUCAUUUUUUCUUAUACUAUAGUAAUGUUUCAUAAUGUUGAUAUGUUGUAAUUUUUUCAGUCAUGAUAAAUAUAUUUUAUAUGUAUAUACAGAGAGAGAGAGAGAGGGGGGGGAGUAAAAAGGAAGGAAGGAAGGAGGGAAAGAGAGAUUAAAUAAUUACAAUGUGUGAGAUGUGUGAGGUACAGUGAUAAGUACUGAGGAUACAAUAAUAAUCAAGCCAAACAGUCUUUAUUUAAACAGGACAACAGAAGGGGAUGGGACAAUGCAACCUUACACAAGGAGAAAGAGGGAGAGAGUGAGAAAGAAGUAGAGGGGGGAGGGAAGGAGGGAGAGGAGAGAGAGAAACAGAGAGAGACAGAGAGACAGAGUAUGUUUGUUGGAGGUCAUCUAGUUUUAAUAAAGUUCUUUUUAAAAUUGGUUAGAUGACUUCUCAAUAUUGUUGCCUUUUUCUUCAACUGAUUAUUUUAGAGCUAGAUAUUCAUCAAAGCAGUCACCUUCUUGCCCUUUUUUAUUCUCAAAUUUCCUGGUAGUUGCAUUGAUCUGUAAUUGAAUUUGAAGAGGGUGAGGUGAGAGCCUUCUAAAAUUGAAAUGCUACAGAGAGGAAAGAGAUUUUGUUUUCAUAUUCUCAGAAUCUGUGCAAACAAUCAUUUGUAGGGAUGGAAGGGUAGAAAAUGAUUUUGUUUUGCUUUCCCUCCAUUAAUUUUAGAUGGAAACACUAACUUGUUUAUAACACUAAGUUGUAUAACACCUUAACAUGAAAGAGUUGAUCAAGAACUUUCCUAAGAACUGCUUUUGAUGGGAAUGGAAGUAGAAUGAUUAUGAAACCUUCAUAAAGAGGAAUCACAUAAGAAAAAGGACACAGAAAGGGGUGAUUCAGUGAAUGAAAGACAUGUUAAAGACACACUAAGCAGUUUGCCUUGAGCAACUCCCAAUUUUAAUGCCUUCUGACUGCAUAAAAUAAUUUACAUCAAGUAUUAUCUUUUACACAUUCUUUUAA